rnacentral:rRNA from 1 species
UUACCAGAAGAUGUGGUCUUCGAGAUACUCUCACGGGUGCCGGUGAAGUCGGCCUGCAGAUUCCGGUGCGUGUCCAGCGCGUGGGAUGCCCUCAUCACCGGCCCGGCGUUCGUGGCCGCGCACAGAGACCGCACCGAGCCGCUGCUCCUCUUCCUCGCUGCCGACUCCUCCGAUGAAAACACCAGAGACCUGCGGCUGAUGGACACGGACGGCAACGUCGUAAGAGUUAUCAACAGGCCCGGUGUCUGCACCUACGGCUACCGCCUCGACGGCACGGUCUGCAUCACCAAUGAUUAUCUUGGCGUCCAGUCGGUCAUCAACGCCAUUGAUCUCCCCACCGGGGCUGUGACGAGGAUCUCUAUGCAGUGGAACAGGGAAUCCUUCUGGGAUCUCAACGUCGGUUGUGCCGCCCCGUCUCGCACGUACAAGGUGUGA